UUCCAGACUCCUACGGGAGGCAGCAGUGGGGAAUAUUGCACAAUGGGGGAAACCCUGAUGCAGCAACGCCGCGUGAGUGAAGAAGUAUUUCGGUAUGUAAAGCUCUAUCAGCAGGGAAGAAGAUGACGGUACCUGAUUAAGAAGCCCCGGCUAACUACGUGCCAGCAGCCGCGGUAAUACGUAGGGGGCAAGCGUUAUCCGGAUUUACUGGGUGUAAAGGGAGCGCAGACGGCAGUGCAAGUCUGGAGUGAAAGCCCGGGGCCCAACCCCGGAACUGCUCUGGAAACUGUGCGGCUAGAGUACUGGAGGGGCAGGCGGAAUUCCUAGUGUAGCGGUGAAAUGCGUAGAUAUCAGGAGGAACACCGGUGGCGAAGGCGGCUUACUGGACCAUGACUGACGUUGAGGCUCGAAAGCGUGGGGAGCGAACAGGAUUAGAUACCCGCGUAAU
rnacentral:rRNA from 1 species